AAACAUUGAAAAGCUUUUAUUCCUAUAUCCCCAAUAUUAUUAUCGCUUAAAUCUAAAAUUUCCAAUUUUGGUACUAAACUGACAUCACGUGUAUCCUUCCUACACCAUUCCGGAACCUUUGGGAGAAGAUUUUCACUCAAACGAAAGUCUAUUAGAUCCUUCGGAAUGCCUUUUAAAUCAAUAUGUUCAAUCUCGUUUGCAUUCAAAA
rnacentral:lncRNA from 1 species